rnacentral:rRNA from 1 species
AUUGAACGCUGGCGGCAGGCCUAACACAUGCAAGUCGAGCGGAUGAAGGGAGCUUGCUCCUGGAUUCAGCGGCGGACGGGUGAGUAAUGCCUAGGAAUCUGCCUGGUAGUGGGGGAUAACGUCCGGAAACGGGCGCUAAUACCGCAUACGUCCUGAGGGAGAAAGUGGGGGAUCUUCGGACCUCACGCUAUCAGAUGAGCCUAGGUCGGAUUAGCUAGUUGGUGGGGUAAAGGCCUACCAAGGCGACGAUCCGUAACUGGUCUGAGAGGAUGAUCAGUCACACUGUAACUGAGACACGGUCCAGACUCCUACGGGAGGCAGCAGUGGGGAAUAUUGGACAAAGGGCGAAAGCCUGAUCCAGCCAUGCCGCGUGUGUGAAGAAGGUCUUCGGAUUGUAAAGCACUUUAAGUUGGGAGGAAGGGCAGUAAGUUAAUACCUUGCUGUUUUGACGUUACCAACAGAAUAAGCACCGGCUAACUUCGUG